CAUAAGAAUUUAUGACUUAAUCCACAUAAAGAACUUAUGAUUUAAUCCCAUGAUAGUUAAUUUGAAGUAAUGUUGCGAUGCCUCAGACAUCCAAGGAAGGAACAGUUAAGCAGCAUAAGCUCUCAAGCCUGGCGAGGCGAAAGCACUCAGGCGGCCACUGCGAAUGUUUUGAGAAACAAGCCUUAAGAGUUUCGCAUCAUUGGCAUCAAUCAAUGCAGACCAGUACAAAACAAAUCAAGCUUUUUUUAAUAAAUUAGGUAAAAGAGGCAUUUCAUACACAAAUCCGAAAAGCAAUCUCUAGCAAGAAAAACUGUUAAAAAGGACUGAAAAAGGGCAGUCUCAGACAUCCAAGGAAGGAAGAGUUAAGCAGCAUAUGCUCUCAAGCCCGGCGAGGCGAAAGCUCUCAGGCAGCCACUGCGAAUGUAUUUUGAGAAACAAGCCUUAAUGUUUUGCAUCAUUGACU
rnacentral:lncRNA from 1 species